rnacentral:snRNA from 1 species
UGCAGCAUCAUCAAGAUUCU